UGUGAGAGGAAAAACAGAGAAAGGACACUGAUGAAUUUAAGAUUUUCAACACCAAGAGAGAUGAUCUUUCUGUUCUCUUGGCUCAGAAACUCCCAUUCUAGCAAACUCCUUAUAGCCCUGCACUACACAGUGAAUAUUUUGUUCAGUGGAGGUAAUCUGAGUUUUUGGAACUGUUUCUUCUGAUCUCCAGUUUUUUACUCUGCAUCUCUACCCUUAAAAUCCAGUGUGACUUUACAAUUAGUUGCUAUCUUCAUAAAUAGGCUUCUGUUUGCCCAGUACUCCAGGCUUUAGCCCCUCCUCGGUGCAACAGUUCUUCCCUCUAACAUUACCUUUUACCAUUCACACAUCUAAAGCACUUAUUCCACAUAGGACUGCUUUGUCUGCAGUCUCAGAGCUGUCUGAUUCCUCUUCUCCACAGAGGAUUACAAAGAGAAAACAAGAAAAAAACCCAAACAAACCACUCACACAUUCAUUCUGUCUAAGCAUCACGGUAGGAACAAAGUUGCUAUGAAAUCUGUAACUUUCUUGGGUGUGAACAAAGGUGGGUUUACUGUAGCCACUCAGGGAUUCCUGCUGCAGCAAUCAUUGAGAAAAUAAAUACUUCAGAGUACUUCAGAGUGUUUUAUGGUGUAAUAGUGUUUCCUGUAUUAUUCGUAUGUUAGCCAAAUGGAAACAGAAUAUAUUGUGCAUUCUUUACUUUGCAGACAUCUCUGUUUCAGGGCAGAUGUGAUCAUAUCCUGCAGGGGUGUGCCCUGACCGUACAUUCAGAGAGGACCUUGGAUAUGCUGACUGCAGUUAAUUUCAUUUGUACAGGCAUAAGCAUCUCAUUCUACUUAUCUCAGAUUCUUGAAUUAAUAUUCAAUCAUCCUCCGAGUGUGUCUAGUUGUUCUUUGUUCUAAGCAGAUCUUGAUGUUUAGCUCUAUCACAAAAGGGGGACUAUCUUUCUGAAAGGAAAGGUUCAAAGUAAUUUUGGAUGUCUUAAAAUACCCGAGACAUUUACACUGGCUUGGAAACUGGUCUGGUUCUUGGGUAGCAGUUUGGCACAAACAUGUGAUGACUUCUCUUCAGGUACCCUGUAUCUGCACAGAGUAGCAAUGUUCCCUUCUGACAUUUACUACAGCAGAUUAGUGCAGACUACUAAUCAGAAAGCCCACAAUUACAUCAUUUCAGCUCUUUCAGGUGUUGUUCUAUUGCCUGUUAUUGAUCCGAGGUCCUUCGUGUCUUGUUUGCAUUGUCCCGUUUGCCAUAGUUUACUGCAUCCAGCUCCUGUUUGCACUGCAGCUCGGCUCUGGGACAAAACAAGGCCAUGAUACUCCCAUGUCAUUUAGACAAGUCCACAGCAGUGGAACAGGUUGAAAUCUAGACCAGGAAAUUAAGUAGUCAAGAUGAAGUAAAAGCCAGCAAGAUAUAAGGCCAGGCACAACAUACAUGCAGCACAGGCAAGACAAGAAAAAAGAAGAGAGAUCAAGCUUAAACACUUCAGUCCUGAACCAAUUUCCAGAUGAGGUUUCCCACAGCUUUCUUACAAUUUAGCUGUUUCACAUCAAAUUAAUACAAGGUUAAACAACCAUAUUGUAUCAGUCCUGACCUUGAACAGAGACAGCUAAACUGCUGGGGAGAGGAAAGAGGAGACAGCAGAGAGGGAGUAUAAAGAAGGCCCUUACCUGCAGGUCAGAGCAUUUUAAACCUGUUUCUGCACCUGUUGUCCCAUCAAAUCUAAAAAAGUCAUCAUGAGUAAACUAGGAGCAUUGGUUAGAGAGUCACUGACACCUGGAAAGGCCAGGCAGGCAGGCAGAAAGUACAUGGGGUUGUAAAACCAUGGAUCGCUGAUGACUGUGACAAGGAUUAUGAAGUUCCUUGGAGAAAAGCAUGGAGAGAAAAUACUGAAUAAAGAGUUAUCUGUCCUAUGAAUCUUCCUGUUGCUGUGUUUUCUGAGGACUGCACUGUGCCAGUGAUUAAUCUCAGACCCUCUCUGUGAAACACCUGUGAGAUUUACUCACAGGAUCAAAAAAAAAGAAGACCAGAACAGUAUUGUUUUGGAGAUAUAGGGAUUGGGUCAUAAGGGAAUGAAUUAGAAAGUUCAUGGUUUAUUUUACUCUGUAGAUAAUAAUCCCACAAGCACAAGAGCAAAUGUCCUUCUGUGCUAAGCUCCAUAAGCCUGAAUACUUGUAUGUGACUUCCAACAGUAUUGUGAAUUACAUACCAGGAUCAUCUCAGUAGUCAACAGCUACAGGAUCAGCAAAUUACAGAGUCAUGUAGGAUGAAGGGAUCUCCGCAAGUUUCCAGUCCAGCCUCCUGUUUAAAAGAAA